GCAGGAUGCUGUAAACGGACCAAACUUCAGUCGGGAGAACAAGUGAACAACUCCUUGCUGAACAACUUCGAGAGCAGCUGUUGCAUAUCUUAGAGGGUCCUGCUGAGGUGCACACCAGGUCCCCAAAAUCCAAGAAGAGUCAAGCCCUUUCGCUGCUUCACCUGCUGAAAGGUGGAGUGAGGUCAUCAGGUGGAUUCAGCUCACCUGCUGCCUGCUCUGGAUGAUCCUGAGCUCUGUUUGGGUGGUGAUUGGUGCACUUCCUGGGCUGCAGAUGGACAGCUUCUUCCUCGAGUGGCUGAUGGAGCGUUUGAGCUUUCUCCUUCCACGCUCCGCUCACUCUGGUUUCAACAUGAUCCAUUUUGAUAAAAACAACGUUUCACACAAGCACAGAUCAAUAAUCAACCUCCAGGUCUGAGAAGUGAAGCCAACACUGAGGCACCAAAACAUGCAGCUCUUCGAUGUCCAGCAGAGGCUCCAGCAGUGAGCCCGUGCUUACAGACUCCCAUGUUAAAACUUUAAAGCAUAAAACUGUUUUGGUCUCUGCAGAUCAUUAAAUCCUUCAAAACA